AAUCACUGAUAUAGUUGUUUAUUUUUUUCUUUACGGGAAGCCUUCAGACAAGCUCAGCAUACUUUUAAUCUCAGAAACGGACAAAACUGGCACCACCAAUCCCUACCAUCAUGCCGGCUCUUCUGGAGAGGCCCAAGCUGUCUAAUGCCAUGGCACGUGCCUUACACAAGCACAUCAUGAGAGAGAGGGAGCGCAAGAGGCAAGAGGAGGAAGAGGUUGA